UACGUAGGGGGCAAGCGUUGUCCGGAUUUAUUGGGCGUAAAGAGCUCGUAGGCGGUCUGUCGCGUCGGCUGUGAAAACUCGGGGCUCAACUCCGAGCUUGCAGUCGAUACGGGCAGGCUAGAGUUCGGCAGGGGAGACUGGAAUUCCUGGUGUAGCGGUGAAAUGCGCAGAUAUCAGGAGGAACACCGGUGGCGAAGGCGGGUCUCUAGUACGGUACUGACGCUGAGACGCGAAAGCGUGGGGAGCGAACAGG
rnacentral:rRNA from 1 species